UCCUGUGCAACGCCGGCCCGUGAACCCCGUCAGAUCCGGAAGGAAGCAGCGGUAAGCGGCAGUCGUCGUGUGCCGCAGGCGCGCCUGAUCCGAGUCGCGCGCGUGUCGUGUGCCCGAGGUGUCCUCAUCGACGGAGGGUGCACGG
rnacentral:SRP_RNA from 1 species